rnacentral:tRNA from 1 species
CUUAACUCAGUUGGUUUAGAGUGUCGGUCUGUUAAACCGAAUGUCGUAGGUUCAAGUCCUACAGGU